rnacentral:RNase_P_RNA from 2 species
GAGAUUAACUGGAUAACUGCUUUUUAAAAGAGGAAAGUCCGAACUCCACAGGGUAAAAAUGCCUCUUAAUUAGAGGGCCUAUUUUUUAUAGGUAGGAAAGUGCAACAGAAAGUAUACCGCCUUAGGGUAAGGGUGAAAAGGUAGUGUAAGAGACUACCAGUGGUAUUCUAAAGAAUAUUAGCUAUGUAAACCCCAUUUGGAGCAAGACCAAGUAAUCAUGUGUUGCCCGCACAAUAUGAUAGGUAGGUUGCUAGAGUUAAGUUGUGAAGCUUAACCAAGAUGAAUAGUUAUCAGCUCAUUUAUGAGUUACAGAAUUCGGCUUAUAGGUUAAUCUCAAAA